AUGGCGAAAUAUUGGUGGAGCAGCUCACUUGAUAAACGGUCUUUGCACUGGAUAUCGUGGAAGUCGCUCGCAUCUCCAAAAAUUAACGGCAGAAUGGGCUUCCGUGAUAUGGAACUCUUCAACAUUGCUCUCCUAGGGAAACAUGGUUGGAGGUUCAUGACCAGCCCAGACUCUUUAUGUGCUCGUGUUAUGAAGAGCAGGUACUUCCCAAAUACUGAUUUCAUGCAUGCAACAAUGUCGCAAUCAUCCUCUGCCAUAUGGAGAGCUAUUGUGGCUGGGCAGGAAGCUCUUCGAGCUGGUCUGAUUAUGCGUGUUGGGGAUGGCAGUUCCAUCUCUGUUUGGAAUGACAAGUGGAUCCCA
rnacentral:rRNA from 1 species